AGCUGAUGCACGCGGUGGUUUCCCCCCAGUUCCAUCGCAUCAGCUGUUCCCCUCUGGAGGUUUUAACCUUCACACCUUAAAGGGCCCCGGUCUUCCGGUGGCCCUAUUUU
rnacentral:sRNA from 1 species